rnacentral:rRNA from 1 species
GACGAACGCUGGCGGCGUGCUUAACACAUGCAAGUCGAGCGGUAAGGCCCUUUCGGGGGUACACGAGCGGCGAACGGGUGAGUAACACGUGGGUGACCUGCCCUCAGCUCUGGGAUAAGCCUGGGAAACCGGGUCUAAUACCGGAUAUGACUCCAUGACGCAUGUUGUGGGGUGGAAAGCCUUGUGCGGCUGAGGAUGGGCCCGCGGCCUAUCAGCUUGUUGGUGGGGUGAUGGCCUACCAAGGCGACGACGGGUAGCCGGCCUGAGAGGGCGACCGGCCGCACUGGGACUGAGACACGGCCCAGACUCCUACGGGAGGC